rfam:Musa acuminata subsp. malaccensis Doubled-haploid Pahang (DH-Pahang) genomic chromosome, chr7
GUGCAAAUGAUGGGAGGAUAAUUUAGUUGAUGCUGAGAUAUUCUUUAUGAAGUUUCAACACAUCGAGUUUUUUAAUACUGAUGCACA